UACGUAGGGUGCAAGCGUUGUCCCGGAAUUAUUGGGCGUAAAGAGCUCGUAGGCGGUCUGUCGCGUCUGCUGUGAAAACUCGGGGCUUAACCCCGGGCCUGCAGUGGGUACGGGCAGACUAGAGUGCGGUAGGGGAGACUGGAAUUCCUGGUGUAGCGGUGAAAUGCGCAGAUAUCAGGAGGAACACCGGUGGCGAAGGCGGGUCUCUGGGCCGUAACUGACGCUGAGGAGCGAAAGCAUAGGGAGCGAACAGG
rnacentral:rRNA from 1 species